rnacentral:miRNA from 1 species
UGAGAUGAAGCACUGUAGGU